GAACCUAGUGCCCUGUGCAUGAUAGGCCAGCACUUUAUCAGCAGACUGUAUGUAUUUCUUAGCACUGUAACUUGUUUUCAGGUUCAUUGACUUCUUCCAUUCUGGUACUGAGGAUUGAGUGUAGAGUCUUAUUAGGCAUGUUGUUGGCCUCUGCGGGAUAUGGAUAUAUAUGUAUAUGUGUAUGUGUAUGUGUAUGUGUAUAUGUAUAUGUAUAUGUAUAUGUAUAUAUGUGUGUAUAUGUAUAUAUAUGUAAUAUAUGUAUGAAUGUAUGUAUAUGUAUAUGUAUAUAUAUGCACACACAUAUAUGCAUUAUAUCAUUAGUAUCUCACCCUUUUAUUUUUAUUUAUUUUUCUAAAAAAAGAUUUGUGUUGUUUUAUGUGCUUGCAUGUAUGUAUGUCUAUUUGUGCCUGGGGACCACAGAGGAAAGAAGAGGGUGUCAGACAC
rnacentral:lncRNA from 1 species